GGGCCGUAGCUCAAUUGGUAGAGCGCCGGUCUCCAAAAUCGGAGGUUGCAGGUUCGAGUCCUGCCGGCCCUGCCA
rnacentral:tRNA from 1 species